rnacentral:lncRNA from 1 species
AUCAGUCAUCCUGUUCCUAAAAGCUUUCAGGGCAAAACCUUUUUUUUUUUUUUUUUUUUGGAGCUGCUGAAUCCGGCCACCAGCAGCAGCACUGCCAGGGGAAAUGCCCUCUUGGUUUCUGAUGGCAGCGAUUUGCAUCCCAAAGGGCUUCCUGGUGCCUGACAGCCCAGAGGUGGUGUGUGCUCUGCUCACAGCUGAUGUGGGUUGUUAAUUCCAGCUGUGCUACUGGAUUCAGAGGGGGUGAUAAUUUUAAACUGUAAUCUGCUCUUCUCCCCUGGCAGCUGCAGUGAUUUGUGCAGAAGUUUUACUUGCUAAAAAACAGAUUUUAGAUCAAGCCUAACCUAUAGGAAGCUAUAUGAAGAGGACUAGCAAGUCCAAAGCUGUAUGGCUUUAAACAAUCAGCAGGUAUCACUCAAAGAUAGCCUUUUAAAUUAUAUUUUUUUUAAUGCAUAAUGUUUUGCUGGCAUCAAAAAGCCACUGAGAAAGCAACUACUGUUUUUUAUUAGCUUUGUCCAGUCUCCUAUACAACUGUUAUGUACCUUCAUUUGCAUCCACAGGUACCUGCAGGCACCAGCUUCCACGAGUCAGUCUCGGUGAGAAGGCUCCUUGGAAAACUCCAGCGAAGUUACGGCAGGAGUGGAGAGUAUGAAAAAGCUGUUACUUCACAUCUCCAACCAUCAAAGAGAGAGAUAUAACCACAGAAAAAUGGUCCUGGUGUUUCUAAGGUAAAUGUAUAUUUGUGUUUGCAUACAACACACGUUCCUUAUUGGAACUAAUUAGGAAUUAAUAGGUCACUCAGAGGAUGCACCUGCUACCUGUAAAUGAGCUCUUUAAAUAAUUUGGUCUGGAACAGAUGUCUUGCAGGCUCCUGGUCCAAAGCAAAGACGGUCACACUCAGUUUCUGAGGACUGUAUGAGUCUAGGUGGACAUUGCUCAGUCCUUCCAUACUCCUUAUGCCAGUCUUUGGCCACCCCUGAAAUAGAGAUUUUGACUUAAUUGAGAAAUUUGGCCUAAUUUUCUCCAUAUUAUCCAACAGGAAUUUUCCUUGCUGCGGCUUGUACCUGUUGUCUCUUAAUUUUGCCGUGAACACUCAGGAAAGGUUUGUCUGUCUUCUCUAGAUCUCCCAUUAGAUACUUGCAGGCAGCUGUAGGAUUUCCCUGGAACCUUCUCUUCCAGCUAUUUUCUCAGCCUUUCCUUGUUUCCUUCCCUCUACACUUUGGGGGCAUCUUGCUAAUGCAGCCCAGCAUGCAGUUAGCCCUUCCCACAGAGCAACCUGAAAUAAAUCUGUGCCCA